UAGCGCAUGCUCUCGGAAGCGGACGUUUGCUCCCGAGAAGACGAGGAGAAGGUUGUCGAAUAGUCAGCGGAUGCCUUCCGGCCGGUCCGGUCGAUAGAAAUCUGUUAAAGCUCAGGUGUGAGCCUGGGGGAAGAGCGGAUG
rnacentral:ncRNA from 1 species